CCUACGGGAGGCAGCAGUGAGGAAUAUUGGUCAAUGGGCGUACGCCUGAACCAGCCAAGUCGCGUGAGGGAAGACGGCCCUACGGGUUGUAAACCUCUUUUGCCGGGGAGCAAGCCUGACCACGUGUGCCCAGGCGGAGAGUACCCGGAGAAAAAGCAUCGGCUAACUCCGUGCCAGCAGCCGCGGUAAUACGGAGGAUGCGAGCGUUAUCCGGAUUUAUUGGGUUUAAAGGGUGCGCAGGCGGGCUGUUAAGCCGGAGGUAAAAAUUUAGGGCUCAACUCUGUCGAGCCGUCGGAACUGGUAGUCUUGAGUGUGCGAGAAGUAUGCGGAAUGCGUGGUGUAGCGGUGAAAUGCAUAGAGAUCACGCAGAAUGCUGAUUGCGAAGGCGGCAUACCGGCGCCCGACUGACGCUGAGGCACGAAAGCGUGGGGAGCGAACAGGAUUAGAUACCCGAGUAGUC
rnacentral:rRNA from 1 species